GGAACUAUGGUCACUGCCUC
rnacentral:piRNA from 1 species